rnacentral:rRNA from 1 species
CGGGGGACAACAUUUGGAAACGAAUGCUAAUACCGCAUAAUAGCUUUAAACAUAAGUUUUAAGUUUGAAAGAUGCAAUUGCAUCACUCAAAGAUGAUCCCGCGUUGUAUUAGCUAGUUGGUGAGGUAAAGGCUCACCAAGGCGAUGAUACAUAGCCGACCUGAGAGGGUGAUCGGCCACAUUGGGACUGAGACACGGCCCAAACUCCUACGGGAGGCAGCAGUAGGGAAUCUUCGGCAAUGGACGAAAGUCUGACCGAGCAACGCCGCGUGAGUGAAGAAGGUUUUCGGAUCGUAAAACUCUGUUGUUAGAGAAGAACGACGAGGAGAGUGGAAAGCUCCUCGUGUGACGGUAUCUAACCAGAAAGGGACGGCUAACUACGUGCCAGCAGCCGCGGUAAUACGUAGGUCCCGAGCGUUGUCCGGAUUUAUUGGGCGUAAAGCGAGCGCAGGUGGUUUAUUAAGUCUGGUGUAAAAGGCAGUGGCUCAACCAUUGUAUGCAUUGGAAACUGGUAGACUUGAGUGCAGGAGAGGAGAGUGGAAUUCCAUGUGUAGCGGUGAAAUGCGUAGAUAUAUGGAGGAACACCGGUGGCGAAAGCGGUUCUCUGGCCUGUAACUGACACUGAGGCUCGAAAGCGUGGGGAGCAAACAGGAUUAGAUACCCUGGUAGUCCACGCCGUAAACGAUGAGUGCUAGAUGUAGGGGGCUAUAAGUUCUCUGUAUCGCAGCUAACGCAAUA